GACGAACGCUGGCGGCGUGCUUAACACAUGCAAGUCGAACGGAAAGGCCCUGCUUUUGUGGGGUGCUCGAGUGGCGAACGGGUGAGUAACACGUGAGUAACCUGCCCUUGACUUUGGGAUAACUUCAGGAAACUGGGGCUAAUACCGGAUAGGAGCUCCUGCUGCAUGGUGGGGGUUGGAAAGUUUCGGCGGUUGGGGAUGGACUCGCGGCUUAUCAGCUUGUUGGUGGGGUAGUGGCUUACCAAGGCUUUGACGGGUAGCCGGCCUGGGAGGGUGGACGGCCACAUUGGUACUGAGAUACGGCCCAGACGCGUACGGGAGGCAGCAGUGGGGAAUAUUGCACAAUGGGCGGAAGCCUGAUGCAGCAACGCCGCGUGCGGGAUGACGGCCUUCGGGUUGUAAACCGCUUUCGCCUGUGACGAAGCGUGAGUGACGGUAAUGGGUAAAGAAGCACCGGCUAACUACGUG
rnacentral:rRNA from 1 species